UUCUGCUUGGUUUGGCAGAACGUGUACUAAAAUUGGAACUUAGAGAAGAAUAGCAUGGCUUAUGUGCAAGGAUGACAAGAAAAUUUCUGCUAUAUUUCACAUUUUC